UUGGACGUAUCUGAGGUGGGGCUU
rnacentral:miRNA from 1 species